rnacentral:rRNA from 1 species
GACGAACGCUGGCGGCGUGCCUAAUACAUGCAAGUUGAGCGCUGAAGGUUGGUACUUGUACCAACUGGAUGAGCAGCGAACGGGUGAGUAACGCGUGGGGAAUCUGCCUUUGAGCGGGGGACAACAUUUGGAAACGAAUGCUAAUACCGCAUAAAAACUUUAAACACAAGUUUUAAGUUUGAAAGAUGCAAUUGCAUCACUCAAAGAUGAUCCCGCGUUGUAUUAGCUAGUUGGUGAGGUAAAGGCUCACCAAGGCGAUGAUACAUAGCCGACCUGGAAGGGUGAUCGGGCACAUUGGGACUGAGACACGGCCCAAACUCCUACGGGAGGCAGCAGUAGGGAAUCUUCGGCAAUGGACGAAAGUCUGACCGAGCAACGCCGCGGGAGUGAAGAAGGUUUUCGGAUCGUAAAACUCUGUUGGUAGAGAAGAACGUUGGUGAGAGUGGAAAGCUCAUCAAGUGACGGUAACUACCCAGAAAGGGACGGCUAACUACGUG